rnacentral:rRNA from 1 species
GACGAACGCUGGCGGCGUGCCUAAUACAUGCAAGUUGAGCGAUGAAGAUUGGUGCUUGCACCAAUUUGAAGAGCAGCGAACGGGUGAGUAACGCGUGGGGAAUCUGCCUUUGAGCGGGGGACAACAUUUGGAAACGAAUGCUAAUACCGCAUAACAACUUUAAACAUAAGUUUUAAGUUUGAAAGAUGCAAUUGCAUCACUCAGAUGAUCCCGCGUUGUAUUAGCUAGUUGGUGAGGUAAGGGCUCACCAAGGCGAUGAUACAUAGCCAACCUGAGAGGGUGAUCGGCCACAUUGGGACUGAGACACGGCCCAAACUCCUACGGGAGGCAGCAGUAGGGAAUCUUCGGCAAUAGACGAAAGUCUGACCGAGCAACGCCGCGUGAGUGAAGAAGGUUUUCGGAUCGUAAAACUCUGUUGGUAGAGAAGAACGUUGGUGAGAGUGGAAAGCUCAUCAAGUGACGGUAACUACCCAGAAAGGGACGGCUAACUACGUG